rnacentral:rRNA from 2 species
UGGCUCAGGACGAACGCUGGCGGCGUGCCUAAUACAUGCAAGUCGAACGAACUCUGGUAUUGAUUGGUGCUUGCAUCAUGAUUUACAUUUGAGUGAGUGGCGAACUGGUGAGUAACACGUGGGAAACCUGCCCAGAAGCGGGGGAUAACACUUGGAAACAGAUGCUAAUACCGCAUAACAACUUGGACCGCAUGGUCCGAGUUUGAAAGAUGGCUUCGGCUAUCACUUUUGGAUGGUCCCGCGGCGUAUUAGCUAGAUGGUGGGGUAACGGCUCACCAUGGCAAUGAUACGUAGCCGACCUGAGAGGGUAAUCGGCCACAUUGGGACUGAGACACGGCCCAAACUCCUACGGGAGGCAGCAGUAGGGAAUCUUCCACAAUGGACGAAAGUCUGAUGGAGCAACGCCGCGUGAGUGAAGAAGGGUUUCGGCUCGUAAAACUCUGUUGUUAAAGAAGAACAUAUCUGAGAGUAACUGUUCAGGUAUUGACGGUAUUUAACCAGAAAGCCACGGCUAACUACGUGCCAGCAGCCGCGGUAAUACGUAGGUGGCAAGCGUUGUCCGGAUUUAUUGGGCGUAAAGCGAGCGCAGGCGGUUUUUUAAGUCUGAUGUGAAAGCCUUCGGCUCAACCGAAGAAGUGCAUCGGAAACUGGGAAACUUGA